rnacentral:miRNA from 1 species
UGUGGCUGUGUGCUGAGGGU